rnacentral:rRNA from 1 species
AUUGAACGCUGGCGGCAUGCCUUACACAAGCAAGUCGAACGGUAACAGGUCUUCGGAUGCUGACGAGUGGCGAACGGGUGAGUAAUACAUCGGAACGUGCCUAGUAGUGGGGGACAACUACUCGAAAGAGUGGCUAAUACCGCAUGAGAUCUACGGAUGAAAGCAGGGGAUCGCAAGACCUUGUGCUACUAGAGCGGCCGAUGGCAGAUUAGGUAGUUGGUGGGAUAAAAGCUUACCAAGCCGACGAUCUGUAGCUGGUCUGAGAGGACGAUCAGCCACACUGGGACUGAGACACGGCCCAGACUCCUACGGGAGGCAGCAGUGGGGAAUUUUGGACGAUGGGCGCAAGCCUGAUCCAGCAAUGCCGUGUGCAGGAUGAAGGCCUUCGGGUUGUAAACUGCUUUUGUACGGAACGAAAAGCCCUGGGUUAAUACCCUGGGGUCAUGACGGUACCGUAAGAAUAAGCACCGGCUAACUACGUGCCAGCCGCCGCCGUAAAAC